GUGCUCGCUUUGGCAGCACAUAUACUAAAAUUGGAAUGAUACAGAGAAGAUUAGCAUGGCCCCUGCACAGGGAUGACACAGAAAUUCGUGAAAUAUUCUUUU